UUGUGGGGCAGAGUGGGGUUUCGCCCUGGGGGAGCAUAUGUGGCAGAGGGCACAGGAAGAUCUGUAAGCAAGAGGGCAUAGCAAAUUAAAUGACCACACUGUCAGGAAGGUUGACAGGCCAAAGAAAGAUCAGCUCCUCCAAAUCUGCUGAACUAACUCUCCCCUCGUAGCCCCAGACACGUUUUCUCAAUUUGAGCACAAUAUCCAUUACUAUUUCCCGUACUGGGUUUCAAUUAAAGAGAGUGAGAGUAGAAAGUUCACUGGUGUUUGGGGGUUCAUUUAUUUCCAAGCAGGAUGCAAAUGAAAGGGAGCCGUGGGCACAGAGUUGUCAUGUGUGUUUUUCCUCCCUCUUCUUUCCAUUUCCUUCUUGCAACCUUCCCUCCACUUCUUGCCAGCCACCCAGCACACCCGUGUUCCCAAAGCAAAUGUUUUCAUGUCUUGAAAAUCCAGUUAGGGUGAGGAGAGAAGGAAGGUGAUAACAUCAUACCUACUGAUGCCCCCUAGAGAUGAAGCUGUCCUGGGGGCACUUAAGGCUUGAGGGAAGGAUUUACCUUCUCGAGAUGGGCACAGGAAUUGGGGUAGUGUGAGCACUUGAAGGGUUCCAGGUUUUACUGUUGCACUGAAAACAGAUGCAAUCCCUCCUGCUGUAACAUGCCCCUAUGGAAAAAAUCUAGCCUUCUGUGCAGUUAUCCUGUUUUGGUCCUAGAACACAGGGUGGUGAUCUUGCUUCUCUGGGGGGUGCCAGGCAAAUAGAAGACGUGAAAAUCUGCUGCCAAGGUCAGGAUGUAGGUCCUGGAUUCAGGAUCUUGACCCCAGGCCUGCCCUGUCACCGAGCAGUGGUCUCACAACCAGGCAAACUCUCUGGCCAAACUCACUUCACACAAACUUGAGCUGAGCACCAGCCCUCCAACCCCCUCCACCUUCUAUGAUCACUGACUUUGUACCAUGGCCACACAGACCACUGGGCAGAAGAGUAGCUGCAGGGUGUCGGUCUUAAUUUCAUGACACUCUGCGUAGCCUCCUCCUCCUUCCACGUCAGCAAAAGAAACUAGAGGCCUCAACAAUGUGACUGUAUUUUGAGUUGGGAUGUGUCCCUCCCAAAUCAAUCAUCCCGGCUCCAAAUAAUACAAACAAAUUCUACAUAUUUUAAAAUGUCCCAAGUCUUGUAUGAUAUCCAGGGACCGAUUAGUGCCGACUGGAGAGACUAUUCCCUCUCCCAUUCCGAAUAAAGGGUUAGGUGAAGGUUGUGGCCCGAGAGAUCCCAGAAGCCCUUAAAAGUCUUUAGCUUGGGGUUUGAAUAAUGAGGGCUAGAUAAGUUUGUUUUCUCUUCCUUUCAAAAAUUUUUUUAUUUUAGAGGAAGGGGAAUGAGGAAGGCGCACGCGCGCGCUCACACACACACACACACACACACACACACGCAGAAAGAGAGAAAAUGUUUGGAAUUGUGAAAGUGCCUUUCCUAGUAGUUGCUUUUACUGGCGCCCGGGCCUCAAUUCAUUUCAUCUCUGAACCAGAUACUAAAAAUCCUCCAGGCGAGUGGAGAGGACCGGCCUUCCUGGAUCGGGAACCUGCCCUCUGUCUUCCCUCGCAGCGCCCUUUCCUCCUUUCGCUUGGGAAAGGAAGAUUUCGAGCCCCAGGAAGGAGUUGGGAGUGAGCGACAGCCCAGAGCGUCCCAUAAGGUCCUUUUGGCCAUGUUUCUGCCCCGGGGGGCUUCACCUAGAUCCCCCACCCCACCCCUUACCCCUGUUGCAAAUACGUAAGCUGGACGCGCCUCGGUGCGGAUCCAGGCCUCGCUGAGCACGGAACCGGAGAAGCAGCUCACGGCCUCGGAUUCUACUCUCACCCAAGGGUGGAAGGGGGUGACAGGGCUCGGAUCUUGCCCCAAACGCUGCACAGGCCCGCAGGAGAGCAAAGAGGUCUCGGACAGGCUGUCCUUCCCCAGCUCUCGGUCGCGACAAGGUCCCGACAGGCCCGGGAACCGGCGAACCGCCUGCAGCUGCUAUCGACAACACUUACAGCCUCCAGAAAUGACCCUUGGUGCCGACUUGUCUGGAAGCCAUCAGGGUUAGUUUUGAAGCAGGAAUCUUCAAGUGGACCAGAGGACAGGGUCUCUCUUUGUUGCCUAGGCUGGAGUGCAGUGGAACGAACUUGGCUUAUUGAAGCAUUGACCACCUGGACCCAAGUGAUUCUCCUACCUUAGCCUCUUGAAUAGCUGUGACAACAGGUGUGCACUACCACACCCAGAUAAAUUUUGUAAUUUUUAUAGAGAGGGCAUUUGACCAUGUUGCCCAGGCUGGUCUCAAACUCCUGAGCUCAAGUGAUACUCCUGCCUCGGCCUCCCAAAGUGCUGGGAUUACAGAUGAAGAAAAUGAGGCACUGAGAGAUUACAUAACUUCCCUUGAGUCAUAUUUGCUUGUAAGUGGUAAGGCUGGAUGUUGAACCCAGGACAAAGGGUCUCACUCUGUCGCCCAGUCUGGAGUGCAAUGGUGUGAUCACGGUCACUGCAACCUCUGCCUCCCGGGUUCAAGCGAUUCUCCUGCCUCAGCCUCCCAAGUAGCUGGGAUUACAGCGGCUUGCAGUAAACUUCUUGGAGGAGAAUUGGCAUUGCAAGGGUGUUACUGGAGACCUCGGCAAGAAAGUGAAUGCAAAGACAGAUGACCCAGGAACCCGUGAUGGAUAAGGCUCUUGACAGCCAGGACGUGGAAUUACAGGGGGUCUCUUUGAGAGACAAAAUAAAAAAAAUAGCCCAGUAAUCUUCCUUCCACCCUUUUCUCCCAGAUCUAAUUACAGAUGUCUUGACAUUCCUUCUGCAUAGAAUUUCCUUAAAAGAUUUGCCAAGAAGAAACAUUUGGAAACUGUGUUUUAGGUAUAAUCCGUCUGGGAGUCACUCUUGCUCGCUUUGUCGUUAGAUGACAAAACGCUUAAUUACAGCGAGCACAAUGUAUACCACAUUUGGAAAACUGGAUUCUUGACCUAAAUAAUGUACCCCAUACUGACAAUGGCCUUUUGGCAAAACUUGUGUCUCUGAUCUCACAUUAAUUACUACACAAAUAUACUUAUUGUGGGCACCGAGUUUAUGGGAUGGAGUCCUCUUGACACAUGUUCACCAUAAAAACACAUUUUUUUCCCUUCCCCUGACCCUAAGGAAAAGAAAAAAAAAAAGAUUAACAUUUUUCAAGAUGCUGUUUUAGUGACAUGAAAACUGUCUGUUGAGUGUUCACUCGGCUUUUGUUCUUUUUCUUUUCUCCUUUUAUUAAAAAGCCUUUCAAACCAAGCAUUCCUGGUUUGUGAUUCUUUACUUUUGCUUUUAUGCUGAGGGAGAGACAGAUUAGAUUAGAUUAAAGACCAAGGGACACCUCGUGAAAUACAUUCCAUCUAGAGGCAAUUUGGUUGAGAGGGCCAAUUGUGUGUGUGUGUGCCUGUGUGCGUGCAGGCGUGCGUGUUUCUCCUUGUGGCAUACUGGUGGUCUUUUUACAGAUACAGAGUUCUGGUUUUUGGAAAUGCGUUUAUUCCUUUAGCCUUUUUCCCUUCAGAAGCCUGCAGCCUUUGAUUGUGGCCUGACUUUUAGGGGUCUGCGGCAUUUUGGGGGGUAGUAAAUCUUAUUAACUCUUCCCUUUAGUGUCUCGCCAUUCUCAAAAACUUUUACAAAAAGCAGCAACACCGCCCUCACCAAAGACAGAUGAAAGGAGCGGUUUCAAAG
rnacentral:lncRNA from 1 species